AAAAGACUGAUUUUCCCGACCUUAGGCCGACCAGGAAACAAUAUUUUCCAAAUUGCAAACUAAAAGACCCGAGGUCCCAAAAGAGACCGGGCCCAAAAUAGGGCUAGGGACCAGGGCGCUGGGCGCUCUGGCCCACCUCCCGGGACAGCAGGGUGCAAGGAGGAUCAGGCCAGGGUGCUGGAAAAAUGCAGUUUUUGAUGUCAUGAGCAAGUUUCGGGGUCUCCAUUCAGGUUCAGUGUUGCGUCGCCAUCGUGAAGACCCAAAUGCGGUCGAAAUUGCAAGUGUCGCAAUUUUAAGAUGCUACAAGUUGAUACUCACCUUUCACUUUUUCAUGCCCAUUACAUUGAAUUAUAUUUUUUAAGACAGAUCUUAUUUGAGCUCUCUUUUUAAUAAGAAAUUUGUAUGAAUAUUAUGACAGCUGAGCCACUUAAAGGUUAAAACUGAUAGAAGGGAGGAGUUUGCUUAACAAGGAAGUUUCUAUGGAUAUCAAUCUCGUGUCCAAAUAACGCUUCUGAUAGAGGGUGAAAAAAAGUAAGUUAAUGUCUUAGAUUGUUAGGAAAUUAAAUUAGGUAGUCUUCCGGAGUAGGUUUUGAAGUGGAAAAUGUACAACUAGUAAAUUAAAGUCAAACGCGGGAUUUAAAGAACUAAAGAACGUUGUUUGCUAAUCUCAUGUCCUGUAUUUAUUUUUUUCACGGACAAUCGGUAUUAUUCAGUUUGUUGCAGAGAGUAUUUGAUAUGUUGCAAGUAUUUUUGCUUUUCGUUAGAUUACAUUUUUGUUACAACCUUAAUAAAAUGUUAAUUAUUACUGGCAGAAAGUACUCUUGAUAAAAAAAUUAAAAAAGGACUGUUAUGAACGACAGGAACAAUGAACUGGUGGAUAUUGGCUCAUAACUCUUUGAGUGGCACCAUCCCAAAUUUGAGUCAUAACUCUUUGAGUGGCACCAUCCCAACCUUCUUAUGAAAGGUACAGACACAAAACAGUUCCUUCAAUGCCAAAUCAGAAUAUAGUUGAUAAAUGCUUAAAUUCCAACAAAAGUUUUAUGGAGCAUGUAAUUCAGUUUUUUGUUGAACAGAGAUGAUUUGAUUCAUCACAAUGUAUUAGCCAUUAUGUCUUCAAAAAUAAAUUAGACAAAGAUGCCAAAAUAUGGGGACUCAUAAAUGGAAUAAGCAGGUUCAAUGGCCAUAAGCAGGUUGGAGGGAAAGAAAAAGAGUAGUGUUGGUGUCAUUGGACACAAUCAAUGUUACAAUGUGUCUUGAUAUGCCUAAGAACACAAUGUUUGAGGAGUUGUUUCUAGUCAUCCACUUCAUCAUCCAUCUUGAAAUUCCAAUUCUAGGAAAUGCACCAGAAAUAGACUUAACAAUUUUGGUAUGGCUUUUAUUAUUGAUCUCAAUCUUUGUUUUCUGGGACAAGGUCAAUUUUUUAAUGCUUUUAUUCUAUUAGAAUUAUGCAUUUUUCAUUUAGAGUUUUUUUAAACCAGCAUAACCAUUGUUAUGGGAUUCAGCCAGUGGGUUAUUGACUCACCAUCCGAUGUUAGUGGCCAGGAAAUACCUUCCUCCUUUACAAGAGGGAUUAUUUGGUUCAGUGUCUCAAACAUCGGAGCAAAUAAGUUUCAAUCUUAAAUUUCAGGUUCAGUUGCUUCCUUAAAUUUCUCAAAUUAAGGAAGAUAGUUUCAACCUGCUGAAGCAUUAAAGCAAGAACAGUAAGCCAAGUAUCAUAUUAUUUCAACUUUGACUUUUAUGAGAUAUCUGUUGUACAAAGAAGAUUUCUCACCUCUUUCAUUCCAAGAGGAGCACAGUAGCAAUGAUAGAAGCUCACAGAUUUUUUAUGUGCCUCUUUCAUCUUUAUUAGUCAAAUGCCCUGUUCCGGCCUUUUGUCAAGCAAGAGCAGGGAUUGAGUUAUUUCUAUUUUUCAGUUUUAUGGAGUAUCAUCCCUAUUGUAUUCAGGGCGGCAACACCCAGAAGAGUGCAUGUUGUACAAAGAAGAUUUCCCACCUUCUGCUUUCCGUUCCAAUGAUGAUUGAAUAAAAGCAAUUCAUCAUUUGUUUGUCUGAAUCCAAGCAAGAGCAGAAUGUAAAUUUUGACGACAUGCAUGUUCAACAUCAGUUCGAAGCACCUGUUUUUCGUUUUCAAGCUUUUUUCUUCAAUAAAACAGCAGUUUGCAAGCAAGAUUUGUAUGCAUAUUUUUUUAAAGCUGUGAUGUUAGUUUUUUCUCUCAAGCUGAACAGCAUAUAUGCUCAAUAACUUGUAAGGAGUUAGUCAGUUGAGAUAAUGCAUUAAGUUCUUC